rnacentral:rRNA from 1 species
AGUCGAGGGGUAACAGAAAAGCUUGCUUUUGCUGACGACCGGCGCACGGGUGUGUAACGCGUAUGCAACCUACCUCAUACUGGAGGAUAGCCCCUGGAAACGGGGAUUAAUACUCCAUAGUAUCACAAUUUCGCAUGUUAUUGUGAUUAAAGUUUUUCGGUAUGAGAUGGGCAUGCGUCCCAUUAGCUUGUUGGUGAGGUAACGGCUCACCAAGGCAACGAUGGGUAGGGGGCCUGAGAGGGUGGUCCCCCACACUGGUACUGAGACACGGACCAGACUCCUACGGGAGGCAGCAGUGAGGAAUAUUGGUCAAUGGAGGAAACUCUGAACCAGCCAUGCCGCGUGAAGGAUGACGGCCCUAUGGGUUGUAAACUUCUUUUAUAGAGGAAGAAACUUGUCUACGUGUAGACAACUGACGGUACUCUACGAAUAAGGAUCGGCUAACUCCGUGCCAGCAGCCGCGGUAAUACGGAGGAUCCAAGCGUUAUCCGGAUUCAUUGGGUUUAAAGGGUCCGUAGGCGGAUUUUUAAGUCAGUGGUGAAAGCCGACAGCUCAACUGUCGAGCUGCCAUUGAUACUGGAAAUCUUGAGUACAAAUGAAGUAGGCGGAAUGAGUCAUGUAGCGGUGAAAUGCAUAGAUAUGACUCAGAACACCGAUUGCGAAGGCAGCUUACUAACAUGUAACUGACGCUGAGGGACGAAAGCGUGGGGAGCGAACAGGA